rnacentral:rRNA from 1 species
UACGUAGGGUGCAAGCGUUGUCCGGAAUUAUUGGGCGUAAAGAGCUCGUAGGCGGUUUGUUGCGUCGGCUGUGAAAUCCCGAGGCUCAACCUCGGGUCUGCAGUCGAUACGAGCAAACUAGAGUGUUGCAGGGGAGACUGGAAUUCCUGGUGUAGCGGUGAAAUGCGCAGAUAUCAGGAGGAACACCGGUGGCGAAGGCGGGUCUCUGGGCCGAUAUUGACGCUGGAGAUGCGAAAGCGUGGGGAUCAA